rnacentral:lncRNA from 12 species
AUAUUUUGGAAAGUCAAGAUAGUUAAAUAAACUUAGUAUAUUUUCAUUUUCAUUUUCUCUUAGUAAAUACUCAGGACCAGUCCUGGCAAGAGAGUCUUUGCAGCCCAGCUGGAAACCUUCACCAGCUCCCAGGAAAUGUUCUACAAAACAGUAAUUCCUUCCACUCUGAAGAUAUGCCAAGACCACAAGAAUUUGAAUGCCACAGAACACCUGCAAAGCAGGCAAAAAGAAAUGAAGACUUGUAAAGGAGGAGGAAGGGCAGGGAGCAUGAGUAUCUUCUUAUCCACUGAUGAUCAAAUAACCACCAUUGGAAAUUCUUCAUUGAUUAUGAAGUGCACUCAAGUAGUAGUAAGACCUGAAGACCUGACCAAAUUAGAAGGAAAGUCUGCGCACAACCAGCAUGGCCAUGCCUGGGAGUUCUGGCUUCACUGUGGCUGAAUUAAGCUUUGGGAAAUGCCUGAAACAUUAGUGCUUUGGAUGGUACUGGUUAGCUGGAGAAUCAGGCUUGGAAGAAGAAGGAACUGAGUGAGCUCUGAAGGACUCAGGAGCACAGAACAGGCUAUGUGGAUGCUGGCUUCUUGGCUGCUGCAAAGAACAAGCUCUGAGGAAUGGAGUCACACUGCAUUUGGGAUCCCAAGUCUCAGAUCAUGUGACUGCAUAGAAGGUGUUGAGGAAGAAGAUCCAGUUUCUUCUUUUACCUCCCACUGGGAGAGCAUGCCAACCACGACAGAGGGCUUACCAGAAAGAAACCAAGGUGCCCUUGACAUCUUAGGGACAUUAGUACUUCUGAAUCUAAUGAACUACAUAGUAUAUCAUGUCUAGUCUUAAUCCAUAAAAUUUGGUUUCCUGCUUUUCCUUGCCCUCCCAUUGCUAUGGGUUUAUCCUCUAAGAACAGUAGCAGUUGUUUUUAGUAGUAUUUAUCUUGCAUGUUGUUAAUGUUAUUUAUUUUACUUAUAUUAAUUAUAUUAUCUAUUAUAUCUAUUACAUAUAUGAGAAAAUGUAUGUUUUCUCAUCCAGAGGAUGAGGAAAAACCUAACACUGCAUUUUGUGAUCAAUUAUCCUGUAACUUACAUGCCCAUAAAUACCAAAGAGUUCAGAGAAGGGGGGGGGCAUCAGAACAGAUGAGAAGGGGAUAUCUUGUAUGUAGAGCAUAAAUGCCAGAAACACUUAGACUGUAUUUUCAGUGAUGCCACAAACUAUAAUCAUGACUAUGUGUUAAGUGCCAAGUCAGUUUACCUUUUAAACCUCAGGUCCUGCAUUCUUAUAUAAGGAUAUUAAUGUACCUAGCUCAUGGGAUUAAGUUACAUA